rnacentral:misc_RNA from 1 species
GAUGAAGAACGCAGCGAAAUGCGAUAAGUAAUGUGAAUUGCAGAAUUCAGUGAAUCAUCGAAUAUUUGAACGCACAUUGCGCCCCCUGGUAUUCCGGGGGGCAUGCCUGUCCGAGCGUCAUUACAACCCUCAAGCUCAGCUUGGUGUUGGGCCCCGCCGCCCCGGCGGGCCCUAAAGUCAGUGGCGGUGCCGUCCGGCUCCGAGCGUAGUAAUUCUUCUCGCUCUGGAGGUCCGGUCGUGUGCUCGCCAGCAACCCCCAAUUUUUUUCAGGUUGACCUCGGAUCAGGUAGGGAUACCCGCUGAACUUAAGCAUAUCAAUAAGCGGAGGA